rnacentral:lncRNA from 1 species
AUGAGGAAGCAGACCUCAGCCAAUGACUGACAGACUCAGGGUGUGAAAGGCUGGCCCCUUUGCCUCAAAGGGAACUAACUCAGGUGUAAUGUUUGCUCAAGGACUUACCUGUGGAAUUACACUGAAAUUAGUCUCUGCUGCAACCACAAACUUGUUAGUUUUUAAUCCUUACCCUCUCCUGCCUCCCUCACUCCCCUUCUCCUGGUGGGUGCCUUCUAAUAAGCCACUGAACUUCUCCAUCUCUGCUUCCGGAAAACUCAGCCUAAGGCAAUUGUGGCCCAGGGUUUCAUCGGUUCAGAUCCUGGGUGCAGACAUGUCACCGCUCAUCAGAAGGACCUACGACUAGAAUAUACAACAAUAAAGUGCUGCUGCCAAUGAAGAGCUGUAUUAGAAGAGAGAUGAAGAUGAUUGGAGUUGAAAGGAGUGAAGAACUGUAAGCCAAUAGUGGACCAUUCCUCAGCAUUGACAAUGACGUCACUGAGGAAAAAAGGAAGAGUGUGAUAUAGGAACAACUGAUGUAGUUACUGAGAUCUUUCGACUGGGCAGUAAUAAGGCAUAAUAGAAAAUAUUAUGUUCUCAUUUUCUCAACCUGUCCAGCUUCAAACCACAUAUUUUAAGUAAGCUCAUAUGUAUAAUUUUCAUUCUUAAAUGCAUAAAAGAGCAUGAAAACAGAUCUUGUUUUUUUUUUAAUGGUUUGUUUAAUAUCUCAGAUAAAAGAACACUCACACGAAGUUAGAGCUGAUAUCCUUUUGUUAUUCUAAUAUGCUAAAGCACCUACCUGUGACUCAAUUGAUGAAUGUUUGGAACUUCGAGGAAAUAAGAUUAACUGUUUGGUAAUAAAAUAGAGCUUGCUAAUUCAUAAGUGAGAUAUGUCUUAAAAAGUGAAACUCUGAUUUAGAAAAUAUGUUUAAAAUUGAUUAUAAUUUACAUAACUUUUCAUUCAACUAGUAAUUUACAUUAUGUUCAUUCAAUAUGAUUUCACUUGCCCUGUGAAAUGGAAUAUAUAUACAGUUGAUUCUCAUUAUUCAUGUAGUUAUGUUUUAUAAUGUUGCACAAACACUGAAUUAACAAACCAUUGCUCCUAGGGGAAAUAUAGGAUUAGGUCCCUGUGAGCCUCUGGUCACAAAAUUCUUGUUAACUAAUCAACACGUAACCUUGUUUUGUGUGUGCUUCUGUUGAAAGACACCUU